AUUAGAGUUUAUUCUGUGUCGACCUCAAUCGAGGUCGCUCCUCUUUCAUCACUCUUCGUCUCCUACAAACUCAUAGGUAACCGUUUGAAGCUCUCUGUAAGGUAACCGUUUGAAGCUCUCUGUAUAAAUGGCUUCCUUCUCUGCGAUGAAUAGCCACAAUUCUACGAGAUCCCUAAGAAAAACUUCAUCAAGCUUCGAUUCCAGUAAUGACUACUUUUUGCAUGCUUCUUCGAUUUUGGGAGGCUCCGAACGUCAAGAAAGGGGGAGAACUGAUGAGUGUCAACAUACUCUUCCUGGAUAAGACGGCGCUUGAUGUGAAAAGAGGGUGAGCUCACCUUUCCAGCUUCUUGAUGUUGUCUGUGUGAUAAGCUUCUACAAUCGUUUUAACUCACACUCAUAACAAGCACUCUCUUAUUGGUUUUGUUCACCUCUCUUCCAAGGUUCGUCCAUCCCUGGAACACAUUCAAUCACCUUCGUUACUAGCAUUAACCAAUUUGCGGUAGGUUGCCCUCCGUUCCAAGAAAAAGAUUGUCAGUGAUAGUUUUUACCGUGCACUGUAUCUAAACUUAUACUUCCCUGCCAUGAAUUCUUCCAAGGCAAGCUAAAUUUUAAAGCUUCUGCUUUCCUAUGUUUCCGUCACGUCGUUUUACUUUUAGUUCAUCACUGUCUUAUUAGAAUUUGGUGGAUUGCAGAGUUGGUCUUACAGUGUUGGCGUAUACUCCUUUAGUGAUCUUGAUUAGUAACGUAACACAUAAAGAGUGACAGUGUCAAAUCACUGUAAUGAUUAUU